rnacentral:lncRNA from 1 species
CCGAUGCUUUCGAAAAAUUUAGAAAAUUCUUUUAAAAUAUCAUGAAAUAGACCCAUGUUAUUGUUAUUCUGCACCAGGACUUACAUGGCAAUGUGGAUUAGAAUAUACAGAAAUAAAAUUAGAAUUGUUAACUGAUGUUGAUAUGUUACAAAUGUUUGAGAAAGGAAUAAGAGGAGGAUUUUCUGGUGUUUUAGGACCAAGACAUGUAAAAGCC